rnacentral:rRNA from 1 species
CGCUGGCGGCGUGCCUAACACAUGCAAGUCGAACGUGAAAGUCCUUCGGGAUGAGUAAAGUGGCGCACGGGUGAGUAACACGUGGAUAAUCUACCCGACGAUCUGGGAUAACAUUCCGAAAGGGGUGCUAAUACCGGAUAAGCCCACGGGAUCUUCGGAUUCUGCGGGAAAAGGGGGGGACCUUCGGGCCUUCUGUCGUCGGAUGAGUCCGCGUACCAUUAGUUAGUUGGUAGGGUAAUGGCCUACCAAGGCUACGAUGGUUAGCUGGUCUGAGAGGAUGAUCAGCCACACUGGAACUGAGACACGGUCCAGACUCCUACGGGAGGCAGCAGUGGGGAAUUUUGCGCAAUGGGGGAAACCCUGACGCAGCAACGCCGCGUGAGUGAUGAAGGCCUUCGGGUCGUAAAGCUCUGUCAGAGGGAAAGAAAUGUAUUAUGGCUAAUAUCCACGAUACUUGACGGUACCCUCAAAGGAAGCACCGGCUAACUCCGUGCCAGCAGCCGCGGUAAUACGGAGGGUGCGAGCGUUGUUCGGAAUUAUUGGGCGUAAAGCGCGUGUAGGCGGUCUUUUAAGUCUGAUGUGAAAGCCCCGGGCUCAACCUGGGAAGUGCAUUGGAUACUGGGAGACUUGAAUACGGGAGAGGGCAGUGGAAUUCCUAGUGUAGGAGUGAAAUCCGUAGAUAUUAGGAGGAACACCGGUGGCGAAGGCGGCUGCCUGGACCGAUAUUGACGCUGAGACGCGAAAGCGUGGGGAGCAAACAGGAUUAGAUACCCUGGUAGUCCACGCCGUAAACGAUGAGUACUAGGUGUUGCGGGUAUUGACCCCUGCAGUGCCGCAGCUAACGCAUUAAGUACUCCGCCUGGGAA